rnacentral:rRNA from 1 species
GACGAACGCUGGCGGCAGGCCUAACACAUGCAAGUCGAGCGGCCGUAGCAAUACGGCAGCGGCAGACGGGAGAGUAACACGUGGGAACGCGCCCUUCGGUUCGGGAUAACACAGGGAAACUUGGGCUAAUACCGGAUACGCCCUUACGGGGAAAGAUUUAUUGCCGAAGGAACGGCCCGCGUCCGAUUAGCUAGUUGGUGAGGUAACGGCUCACCAAGGCGACGAUCGGUAGCUGGUCUGAGAGGAUGACCAGCCUCACUGGGACUGAGACACGGCCCAGACUCCUACGGGAGGCAGCAGUGGGGAAUAUUGGACAAUGGGCGCAAGCCUGAUCCAGCCAUGCCGCGUGGGUGAUGAAGGCCCUAGGGUUGUAAAGCCCUUUCAGCGGGGAAGAUAAUGACGGUACCCGCAGAAGAAGCCCCGGCUAACUUCGUGCCAGCCGCCGCGGUAAUAC